rnacentral:rRNA from 1 species
GAUGAACGCUAGCGGAAGGCUUAAUACAUGCAAGUCGAGCGGUAGGUGGCUUCGGCCAUUGAGAGCGGCGCACGGGUGAGUAACGCGUACAUGACCUGCCUGUCAGAAGGGGAUAGCCCUGGGAAACUGGGAUUAAUACCCUAUGGUAUUGAUAUUAUGAAUGAUAUCAAUUAAAGUUGAGGCGCUGACAGAUGGAUGUGCGUCUGAUUAGCUAGUUGGUAGGGUAACGGCCUACCAAGGCGACGAUCAGUAGGGGGCGUGAGAGCGUGGUCCCCCACACGGGUACUGAGACACGGACCCGACUCCUACGGGAGGCAGCAGUAAGGAAUAUUGGUCAAUGCCCGCAAGGGUGAACCAGCCAUUCCGCGUGGAGGAUGAAGGCCCUAUGGGUUGUAAACUUCUUUUAGAUGGGAAGAAAUGCUAGAUGUAUCUGGUACUGACGGUACCAUCAGAAUAAGCACCGGCUAACUCCGUGCCAGCAGCCGCGGUAAU